rnacentral:rRNA from 1 species
UACGAGGGGGGCAAGCGUUGUUCGGAAUUAUUGGGCGUAAAGGGCGCGUAGGCGGUGCGGUAAGUCACCUGUGAAACCUCUAGGCUCAACCUAGAGCCUGCAGGCGAAACUGCCGUGCUUGAGGGUGGGAGAGGUGCGUGGAAUUCCCGGUGUAGCGGUGAAAUGCGCAGAUAUCAGGAAGAACACCCGUGGCGAAAGCGGCUCUCUGGAACGGUACUGACGCUGAGACGCGAAAGCGUGGGGAGCGAACAGG